CUUCACCGACCCCAGCCACAACGGGUCGCCCUCGCCACGAUCCCGGCCAUAGGUGGCCAGCAGUGCCUGGGCCUC
rnacentral:antisense_RNA from 1 species